rnacentral:rRNA from 1 species
UCUGAUGGAACAAUUCCCGCGUGAAUGAAAGAAGGGUUUCCGGCUCGUAAAACUCUGUUGUUAAAGAAGAACACCUUUGAGAGUAACUGUUCAAGGGUUGACGGUAUUUAACCAGAAAGCCACGGCUAACUACGUGCCAGCAGCCGCGGUAAUACGUAGGUGGCAAGCGUUGUCCGGAUUUAUUGGGCGUAAAGCGAGCGCAGGCGGUUUUUUAAGUCUGAUGUGAAAGCCUUCGGCUUAACCGGAGAAGUGCAUCGGAAACUGGGAGACUUGAGUGCAGAAGAGGACAGUGGAACUCCAUGUGUAGCGGUGGAAUGCGUAGAUAUAUGGAAGAACACCAGUGGCGAAGGCGGCUGUCUAGUCUGUAACUGACGCUGAGGCUCGAAAGCAUGGGUAGCGAACAGGAUUAGAUACCCUGGUAGUCCAUGCCGUAAACGAUGAGUGCUAAGUGUUGGAGGGUUUCCGCCCUUCAGUGCUGCAGCUAACGCAUUAAGCACUCCGCCUGGGGAGUACGACCGCAAGGUUGAAACUCAAAGGAAUUGACGGGGGCCCGCACAAGCGGUGGAGCAUGUGGUUUAAUUCGAAGCUACGCGAAGAACCUUACCAGGUCUUGACAUCUUCUGCCAAUCUUAGAGAUAAGACGUUCCCUUCGGGGACAGAAUGACAGGUGGUGCAUGGUUGUCGUCAGCUCGUGUCGUGAGAUGUUGGGUUAAGUCCCGCAACGAGCGCAACCCUUAUUAUCAGUUGCCAGCAUUCAGUUGGGCACUCUGGUGAGACUGCCGGUGACAAACCGGAGGAAGGUGGGGAUGACGUCAAAUCAUCAUGCCCCUUAUGACCUGGGCUACACACGUGCUACAAUGGACGGUACAACGAGUUGCGAAGUCGUGAGGCUAAGCUAAUCUCUUAAAGCCGUUCUCAGUUCGGAUUGUAGGCUGCAACUCGCCUACAUGAAGUUGGAAUCGCUAGUAAUCGCGGAUCAGCAUGCCGCGGUGAAUACGUUCCCGGGCCUUGUACACACCGCCCGUCACACCAUGAGAGUUUGUAACACCCAAAGCCGGUGAGAUAACUUCGGAGUCAGCCGUCUAAGGUGACAGAGAUGA